GACGAACGCUGGCGGCGUGCUUAACACAUGCAAGUCGAACGGUAAGGCCCUUCGGGGUACACGAGUGGCGAACGGGUGAGUAACACGUGGGUGAUCUGCCCUGCACUUCGGGAUAAGCCUGGGAAACUGGGUCUAAUACCGGAUAGGACCACUGCCUGCAUGGGUGGUGGUGGAAAGCUUUUGCGGUGUGGGAUGGGCCCGCGGCCUAUCAGCUUGGUGGUGGGGUGAUGGCCUACCAAGGCGACGACGGGUAGCCGGCCUGAGAGGGUGACCGGCCACACUGGGACUGAGAUACGGCCCAGACUCCUACGGGAGGCAGCAGUGGGGAAUAUUGCACAAUGGGCGCAAGCCUGAUGCAGCGACGCCGCGUGAGGGAUGACGGCCUUCGGGUUGUAAAUCUCUUUCAGCACCGACGAAGCGCAAGUGACGGUAGGUGCAGAAGAAGGACCGGCCAACUACGUGCCAGCCGCCGCGGUAA
rnacentral:rRNA from 1 species